rnacentral:rRNA from 1 species
GACGAACGCUGGCGGCGUGCUUAACACAUGCAAGUCGAACGGAAAGGCCCCUUUGGGGGUCCUCGAGUGGCGAACGGGUGAGUAACACGUGAGUAACCUGCCCUUGACUUCGGGAUAACUUCAGGAAACUGGGGCUAAUACCGGAUAGGAAUCCUUGCUGCAUGGUGGGGGUUGGAAAGCUUCGGCGGUUUUGGAUGGACUCGCGGCUUAUCAGCUUGUUGGUGGGGUAGUGGCUUACCAAGGCUUUGACGGGUAGCCGGCCUGAGAGGGCGACCGGCCACAUUGGGACUGAGAUACGGCCCAGACUCCGACGGGAGGCAGCAGUGGGGAAUAUUGCACAAUGGGCGGAAGCCUGAUGCAGCAACGCCGCGUGCGGGAUGACGGCCUUCGGGUUGUAAACCGCUUUCAGCAGGGGCGAAGCUUGUGGUGACGGUACCUGCAGAAGAAGCACCGGCUAACUACGUG